rnacentral:rRNA from 1 species
UUCUAUUAAAAUUAAUAAUAGUAAGAUCUGCUCAAUGAUUUUAAAUAGCCGCAAUUAUCCUGUGCUAAGGUAGCAUAAUCAUUCGUUUUCUAAUUAAAAACUAGAACAAAAGAUUAAACAUUUUAAUCAAUAUCUUAAAUUUAAAAUUUUAAUUUAUUCUAAUUGUAAUAAAACAAUUAUUAAUAAGAUAGACGACAAGACCCUAUUGAACUUUACUUAAGUUAAACUGGGGCAGUUAAUUAAUAACUAUUUUAAUUUUAAAUAUCAAAACAAUUGACCUAUAAAAUAUAAUUAUAUAAUUAAGUUACCAUAGGGAUAACAGUGUAAUAAUUAUCUAAAGUUCUUAUUUAAAUAAAAGUUUACAACCUCGAUGUUGAAUAAUAUUCUUUUUUUUGCAAAAAAAUUAAAAGAUAGUCUGUUCGACUUGUAAAAAAUUACA